UUCUAAAACACUUGCCAUAUUGCACACUUUUGUCACUCGAAUUACAUAACCUCACUAAAUUAGUAUUAUAAUAAAAAAUAUCGAUAUAACUAAAUACAGUAUCAUAUAGUAUCGAUCUAUUCAAUCGAUUACUCGCAAAUAAAGCACAAGUAUUGACUUGUUCUCGAUUGAUCUCGAGAAAAAUAAGUAACGAAACGAUUUUUAGUGACUUCAUUAAAUUAACAUUAUAACAGAAAAUAUCAUCGAUAUAACUAAAUAUGAAUUUUUCGCGAGAAUGCUGUUGGUGUUAUUUGUCAAGCGUGACCGAAGGAAAGAGCAGCGGUUUCGAAUGAGAAAAUUUAUGGGUCGCAAUGUGUCGACGGAAACCUUAAAUUUUAACGUCCCUGUCGCGUACUCGGUUGCGUCCUGCCUUGCCUGUUAAGAACCUUGCGAAGGGGGAUUACGAGUUGACUGCCACGAACAUGGAACAUCAAGGGGUGGUUCCACUCUCUCCACGGUGGGGGAGAAUCAGAAGUAUGGUGGUGGCUCUAUGGUAGGGAGAUGUGUAGACAGUGCCACAGGAAAAGGUGUAGGGAAGAGGCGCACGUUGCUCCUUCUUCCUUCCUGAUGCUUUGCUUGUGUCUCUUUCUACACUGAAUAUUUUUCUUUUUGUGUUGCUCGAAAUAAAUAAAUCGGAUUCGAGUCAAACGAGCAUAAUAAAUAAAGAGACAAAUCAAUGGGGCUGUCGAGUCGGCGGUCGCUGUUUGAUGUCAAGAAAGAGCUCGACCCGCUCAGAUUCAGCUAUCUCGAUGUCGUCGCCGACAGCGGCAUCCUACUGCGAUAACGCCAUUAUGCGAAUUCGAGAUUUGCAUAUUUCAGAAAGUGCUGCACAGGAAAGCAUAAACAACUCUGGUCGCUCUGCGCAACGAGAGCGUUGUGGCUUCCUCGUCAGAAGAGUUACACGCAUGGAAGAUUUACGGAGAAUCCAACGGUUUUCCUUUUCCCUUCCUCCACCUUUUUUCCACUUUUUUCUCCCGUCCUUUUUUGCUAUCUUUGUUAUUCUUUUUUUCUCUUUGUUCUUCUUUUUUUUUUUUUCAGAAAACCUCUUCUUACUCUACUUUGUAUUCAGACAUAAAUGCAUGAAAUGGAAAUUGGUUGAAUACCUCCGGAUGAUCAUUUCGGAAUGGAGGACGAAAGAACCGGUCCAACAAUUUUACUAAACUGAAACUUGCGGUUUUCGGAUUGAAUCUUAACUAAUCUUUGGACAAUCAUAUUUCGACAUGUUAAUUCGGAUGCAUCUUGAAAUAAGUAGAAGAUUGUUCGUACAUAUGAUUUU